rnacentral:rRNA from 1 species
CCUACGGGAGGCAGCAGUGAGGAAUAUUGGUCAAUGGACGCGAGUCUGAACCAGCCAAGUCGCGUGAAGGAUGACUGCCCUCUGGGUUGUAAACUUCUUUUAUAUGGGAAUAAAAUGUUCCACGUGUGGGAUUUUGUAUGUACCAUAUGAAUAAGGAUCGGCUAACUCCGUGCCAGCAGCCGCGGUAAUACGGAGGAUCCGAGCGUUAUCCGGAUUUAUUGGGUUUAAAGGAAGCGUAGGUGGAUUGUUAAGUCAGUUGUGAAAGUUUGCGGCUCAACCGUAAAAUUGCAGUUGAAACUGGCAGUCUUGAGUACAGUAGAGGUGGGCGGAAUUCGUGGUGUAGCGGUGAAAUGCUUAGAUAUCACGUAGAACUCCGAUGGCGAAGGCAGUUCACUGGACUGCAACUGACACUGAGGCGCGAAAGUGUGGGGAUCAAACAGGAUUAGAUACCCGAGUAGUC